ACCAUGCUGGCUCAGAUUCAGGACCUAGAUUUGAUCCACUCCAACAUCUAUCCCAUCUAUGAACUGUUGGAGCUCAGGAAGGGGUUGAUUCAGGAGAUCAAACCUGCAGGAUCUCCAUGAUAAAUAGAAUAUCUAAGGACAGCCUAGGGGGAGGAGUAGCAAGCACUGAGGACAUAUAUGGAAGGACAGAGGGGUUUUGAAAUAUUGGGCACACUGACCCAUGGGAUCAUUCUGACUUAAAUCUUGGGUAACUAGGAGUAUUGGGGUACUUGAAAAUCAAUGAAGAUUCAGGCAUACAAUUCUGUGGAGAAAAAGCAUGCGCUAUGCAAGCCUGAAGACCUGAGUUCAAUCUCCUGAUUCCAGUUUGGAAGAGAACCAAUUCCUAGAAUUUGUCCUCUGACCUUUCCUCUUUAUUCUGUAACAUGCCCAUACCUGUACAUACAUAUUAAUAAAAUAAAACUGCAUAGAAAUAAAAAGCAAUAAAUAUUAACACU